GUGGGGAUAGUGUAACGGGCAACACGCUAGUCUCCAAAACUAGCAUUCUGGGUUCAAAUCCUAGUCCCCAUG
rnacentral:tRNA from 1 species